CCUACGGGAGGCAGCAGUGAGGAAUAUUGGUCAAUGGACGAGAGUCUGAACCAGCCAAGUAGCGUGAAGGAUGACUGCCCUAUGGGUUGUAAACUUCUUUUAUAUGGGAAUAAAAUGUUCCACGUGUGGGAUUUUGUAUGUACCAUAUGAAUAAGGCUCGGCUAACUCCGUGCCAGCAGCCGCGGUAAGACGGAGGAUCCGAGCGUUAUCCGAAUUUAUUGGGUUUAAAGGUAGCGUAGGUGGAGUGUUAAGUCAGUUGUGAAUUUUGGCGGCUCAACCGUAAAAUUGCAGUUGAAACUGGCAUUCUUGAGUACAGUAGAGGUGGGCGGAAUUCGUGGUGUAGCGGUGAAAUGCUUAGAUAUCACGAAGAACUCCGAUUGCGAAGGCAGCUCACUGGACUGCAACUGACACUGAGGCUCGAAAGUGUGGGUAUCAAACAGGAUUAGAUACCCGAGUAGUC
rnacentral:rRNA from 1 species